ensembl:snRNA U6 U6 spliceosomal RNA
GUGGUAGCUUUGGCAGCACAUAUACUAAAAUUGGAACAAUAUAGAGAAGAUUAGCAUGGCCCUGCACAAGGGUGACAUGCAAAUUCGUGAAGCACUUCAUAUUUUU